rnacentral:miRNA from 1 species
CAAAAGUCAUUGCGGUUUUUGCUAUUGAAAGUAAUGGCAAAAACUGCAAUUACUUU